CCUACGGGAGGCAGAGAAGGGAAUCUUCCACAAUGGGCGCAAGCCUGAUGGAGCAACACCGCGUGAGUGAAGAAGGGUUUCGGCUCGUAAAACUCUGUUGUUGGAGAAGAACGUGCAUGAGAGUAACUGUUCAUGCAGUGACGGUAUUCAACCAGAAAGUCACGGCUAACUACGUGCCAGCAGCCGCGGUAAU
rnacentral:rRNA from 1 species